GUACGGGAGGCAGCAGUGGGGAAUAUUGCGCAAUGGGCGGAAGCCUGACGCAGCGACGCCGCGUGGGGGAUGAAGGCCUUCGGGUUGUAAACCUCUUUCACCACCGACGAAGCUUCGGUGACGGUAGGUGGGGAAGAAGCGCCGGCUAACUACGUGCCAGCAGCCGCGGUAAUACGUAGGGCGCAAGCGUUGUCCGGAAUUAUUGGGCGUAAAGAGCUCGUAGGUGGUUUGUUGCGUCUGCCGUGAAAACCCGAGGCUUAACCUCGUGGCUUGCGGUGGAUACGGGCAGACUUGAGGUAGGUAGGGGAGAAUGGAAUUCCCGGUGUAGCGGUGAAAUGCGCAGAUAUCGGGAGGAACACCGGUGGCGAAGGCGGUUCUCUGGGCCUUACCUGACGCUGAGGAGCGAAAGCGUGGGGAGCGAACAGGAUUAGAUACCCUGGU
rnacentral:rRNA from 1 species